GGGACAGAGAGGGUUGGAGAAGCCACAGGCCCAAAGCCCGGGGGUCUUUCACACACACAGGCAGCCUCUGGGAGUACUGAGGCCACCCAGCCUAGGAGCAGGUUGGUCUACUUCCCGGUUCUGCCCAAAGGCGGGGGCCUUCCGAUGGCGGAGCCUGUGGCUUCUUAGUGGGGGCCUGGCCUGGAGCGGGGCGCCUGACUCCAGACUGAGCACCGUUCCUUUCCUGGCUGCUCCCCUCACUCCUUCGGAGGCCUGCUCCACGGACCUGCAGGCUUUUCCAGGGCAUAGUGUGAUAUGUCACAGCCGCCCUGCUCUACACAUGCUGUUUCCUCUGCCUGGAAUGCCUUCUCCCCGCUCUUCACCCAGCUUGUUCUGGAAACGGCGCUUUCAAACUCGGCUCCGGAGCACGUCCUGCAGGAAGCCUGCCCAGAGCUAAAUCUCAGCUGCCCCUUCCACAGCUCCGGGAGUCCCCGAGCUCCCUGGUGCCGAGCAGCUCUGUGGGUUACGAGUGCAGCUCUGGUAGACAGCAGGCAUCCGAAAGCUGGGGUGGGUGACAUCAGGUCACCUGGGCAGCCCUGGACGCUGGCCACACCCCUGAGCCAUGUCCAGCCGUCUCUUAAGGCCGUACCCUCCGUGCUGCUUCCCUAGUCUCUGUUCUGAACUUUUCUUUGCAGCCAGAGAGGUAGGGAAAGCACCUGCCCUGUGACUUCGGCCAACCUGACAACCUGUAACUGCCCCAGCGACCGCUCUCCUCCACCUCGAGAACCCUUAGGUGUGGUUCACGCCUCUGCACAGCCCUUGCUCCUCCAGGCUGGGUGGUGUCUGUCCUCUACCGUGGCGGCUCUCCGGGGAUGGGAGCUGUGGCCUGUACCCUGUGACCCAGCACUGUCCAGCCCAGGGCCUGCCCUGGAGCAGGAACUCUGCCCUCACAGGCCUCAGAGUGAGCAGAGACUGGCAGAGCAGGUACCAAGGCCAUCACAGGCAGCAGCAUGAGGACGGGGGCCUGGCGUGAGCAGGGCUCGCAUGCUUCUGUGUGGGGUGGCACCGAGAAGCCACAGGCCCCGGGACCAAGCAGCUUCUGCCCUGACACCAACGUGUUCUCGCCCUCUGGAUGACAAGUAAGAGCCUAAGGUCUGGACUGCAGGCAGGCCUGGCCCAGAUGCCCUGUUCCCAGGGUCCUGGGUGGGCAGGGUGGGCCCCUGGUGGUGGGAGGAGAUGCAGUUGCUCACAGCACCUUGGCCAGCAAGGCUUGCACCCCUGGUGCCUCCCUCACCUGCGGAGCAUAUUAGGUGAACCUCACUUUCGCUGUCUCCGAGUCCCUGAAACCACCCCUGUGAGCCUGUGACCCCACUGUCAUCUAUGGUUGCAGUGGCCUCACAGCGCACGGAGAUGUGAGCAUCGGGGUGGGGCGGGGCCCGGCACACUGCAGCCCGGGCCGGCUCCUGCCAGCCUCGCCCCACCUGGAGUGGGCAGGGAGGGCGGCAAGGUGUCAGGAUGAGGAACCCGGGAGUAUGCGGGUGACAGGAAGGGGGCAGGUGGGGAGGGGACAGGGCACGCUCUGGAUAAGAUGGCAGGGAACUGGGGAUUUGCCCCUGGGCAAGUCUCUAACAGGCUCUAAGCCUCAGUUUCCCCAUCUGCAAAUGCCACAAUACGAUGGCUCACAGAGGCAGGACCCUUGUGGGGAUCAGGAGGGACAGGAGAGGACACAAUCAGUGGUGUCAGUUUCAGCGUAUCAAGAUGUUCGCAUGGGGCUGGGGAUUUAGAUCAGCGGCAAAGCGCCUGCCUGGCAAGCGCAAGGUCGUGAGUUCAGUUCCCGGUACCAGAGAAAAACAAACAAACAAAAAAAACAAAACAAAACAAAACAAAAAGAUGUUCGCAUAGUCUCAAAGUGUUGUCCCAGGAGAUAUUUAACAAUUACAGAAGGCAAACUGUAACUUGACAGCAGAGAAGCUUCUACAGUGAAGGUGCCUUAAUCAAGCUACCAGAGUUUAAUCACAUUAUCACCAGGAAAAGGACAAACUAAGAUGUGCCUGCCUCCUGCUGUGAGCCAGAGAAUUCGUGGCCUCGUCUCUGUGGCACAAGGACAUAGCACACGGUCCCACAGGGAUGGACCUUCUACAAAACCCCUGGCUCCUCAGAAUGUCAAUGUCAUGGAACAGAAAGACAGACUGACAGACUGAGGAACUGUUCUAGGUUAAAGGGGACUGAAGAGAGAUGACAACUGACUGCAGUGCCUUAACUGAAUCUCGGGGAUAAUUCAUGAAAUCUGAAUAAUAGUUUCACAGCAAUGCUAAUUCCCUGAUAUUAUAAUGUGCUAUGGUUA